rnacentral:rRNA from 1 species
AAUAUUGGACAAUGGGCGAAAGCGUGUUCCAGCCAUGUCGCGUGUGUGAAGAAGGUCUUCGGAGUGUAAAGCACUUUAAGUUGGGAGGAAGGGGGUGAAGCUAAUACCUUCAAUUUCUGACGUUACCAACAGAAUAAGCACCGGCUAACUCUCUGCCAGCAGCCGCGGUAAUACAGAGGGUGCAAGCGUUAAUCGGAAUGACUGGGCGUAAAGGUCGCGUAGUUUGUUCGUUAAGUUGGAAGUGAAAGCCCCGGGCUUAACCUGGGGAUUGCUUUGAAAACUGACGAGCUAGAGUACGGUAGAGGGUAGUGGAAUUUCCUGUGUAGCGGUGAAAUGCGUAGAUAUAGGAAGGAACAUCAGUGGCGAAGGCGACUACCUGGACUGAUACUGACACUGAGGUACGAAAGCGUGGGGAGCAAACAGG